GUUCCUGCAGAAAAAGGCUGGUUUGAGGGGCUCCAGACUGUGACAGUUUUUAACAGUGAAGGCACAUUCCUGGUUGUUCAUUGUUUUCUGCAAAGGACUAAAAUGCGAGUGUCUGCUCAGGAUCUCAGGGAAGCUGAAAAUGAGGAUGGGGAAGAAGAAGAGGUCUUCCUCAAGCCUGUUAUUGAGGACAGGAAUAUGGAGUUGGCUCGAAAAUGCAGUGAAAUAAUCAGUGAUAUACCUUAUAAAGAAGAGUUCAAGAAAUCUAAAGGCAAGUGCAUCUCUGUGCCUGACACCCCGCAGCUAAAACAUGUGAAAAGUCUGGGAGCUUUUCUUUCUGAGGUGAAGUACAAAGGAGCUGCUAAGAAAGACCUCUCCAACGCUCUUUAUCAGCAGAUGCCAGCCACAAUUGACAGUGUAUUUGCAAAAGGAUUAACACAACUUCAGAGCAAGGUUCUUUACACACAAAAACAUGCUGCUGAGAAAGGAACCUCAGAUUAUGCACAUAUGAAGGAGCCCCCAGAUAUUAAGCAUGCCAUGGAAGUCACUAAACACCAGAGUGAUGUGUCCUAUAAGAAGGGUGUGCAAGAGACUCACAGAUACACUGAAGUGCUCAACAGGCCAGACAUAAAGAGAGCAACUGAGAUAACAAAGAUCAUCAGUGAUGCUGAGUACAAGAAAGGAAGGGGAGAGAUGAAUAAGGAGCCUGCUGUACUCGGAAGACCUGAUUUUGAACAUGCUAAAGGAGUUUCAAAGCUGUUAAGCCAAGUGAAAUACAAAGAGCAGUUCAGCAAGGAAAUGAAGAGCCACCAGUACAACCCCCUUGACAGCGCUUCCUUCAAGCAAGCACAGAUUGCAGCCACCUUGGCAAGUGAUGUGAACUACAAGAAAGAUCUGGAAAGCCUACAUGACCCAGCUUCGGAUCUGCCAAACCUGCUGUAUUUAAACCAUGCUCUAAACAUCAGCAAAACACAGAGUGAAGUCAAGUACAAGGAGAACUAUGAAAAAUCUAAAGGCAGAUCAAUGCUGGAGUUCGUGGAUACACCGAUGUAUCAGGUUUCAAAGGAGGCUCAAAAGAUGCAAAGUGAGAAAAUGUAUCGCAGAGAUUUUGAAGAGGGGAUCAAGGGAAGACCCUCAAUGGAUUUAGACAAGACCCCAGGGUUCCUGCAUAUAAAAGAAGUCACUAACCUCCUCAAAGAGAAAGAGUAUAGAAAAGAUUUGGAAGAAGGGAUGAAAGGAAAAGGCAUGACAGUGUUUGAAGAUACACCUGACUUGAUUCGAGUGAAAAACGCAGCUCAGAUACUAAAUGAGAAACAAUACAGGAAAGACCUGGAAACAGAGAUUAAGGGGAAAGGCAUGCAGGUUGGUCCAGAUACUCCUGAGAUAAGACGAGCCAAGAAAGCUUCUGAGAUUGCAAGCACGAAAGAAUACAAGAAAGACUUGGAGAAUGAAAUCAAAGGCAAGGGAAUGGAAGUGAGCAUGGAUACCCUGGAUAUACAACGAGCCAAAAAAGCUUCAGAAAUUGUGAGCCAGAAAGAAUAUAAAAAGGAUCUGGAGACUGAAAUUAUAGGGAAAGGGAUGCAGGUGGGCCCAUACACUCCUGAAAUACAGCGGGUCAAAAGAGCUUCGGAAAUAGCAAGCCAGGUGUUUUACAAGAAGGAAGUAGGAGCUGGCACAGCUGUGAGAGAGACUCCAGAGAUUGAAAGAGUGAAGAAAAAUCAACAGAAUAUUAGUUCGAUCAAAUACAAGGAAGAAAUUCACCAAGCCACAACUAUUUCUGAUCCACCUGAACUGAGGAGAGUCAAGGAAAACCAGAAGAAUAUUAGCAAUGUGUGCCUCGUUUUCCCUGCUUGCACAUUUCUCUCUGCUGUGCUCUGUGUGUUUGCUCCUCACUGAAUAUGUCUGUGGUGCUUUGUGCUAGCCCCUGUUUGUCCACCAAGACUAAUAAGUGAUAACCCCUUAGUCUUGCACUUUGGUUAACAUAAGGAGAGUGAAGUAUUCCUGUUGAAGUCUCAGUUGUCCUUGUCUGACAUAGAAGACCUGCAGGAAGGUUCAGUACAAAGAACAGCUCUGCAAAGCCACGCCAGUGAGCAGCACCCCAGAGAUGGAAAGAGUCAAGAGGAAUCAAGAGAAUG